ensembl:lncRNA
CAAUCCCCGCAGUAGCCCUGCUAACAGGAAGUGCAUGACGGCCUGUCACAGAGCGACAGGUAUUUAAAAGGGGCGGGGCAAGACCAGACAGCCAAUCGGAGCGGCGGGAUUGAAGGCGUGGCGGCGCGCGGAGGGGAGGUGGCGCUCACUGCCAGCCAUUAGGGGUGGGAAUAAAAGAAAAAAGAAAGGGGGCAACGGUGACUGGCGGCGUUUUGUUCCAAUCGGAGCGAGGCCAGCGAGUCACGUGGGUGCCCUCAGGAGCGGCUAUCACCGCUGGCGGCCCCUGGUGCUGUGUCCGGGCGCUGCAGUGCGUGUGGGCCGGCGGGGCGGCACCGCUCCCAGCAUGCUCUGCGCGGGGGCGCUCGGCGCGCGCGAGGCGGAGCGGAGCCUGCUGGGAGUCGUAGUCUGUGCGGCGGGGGCGUGCCCGCGCCCCUGAGCGCGCGGGGCUGCCCUAACGGUUGUAACGGCGCCAACGGCCCCUGUCUCUCAGGGGAGCCUUGUGGCGCCGCCCGCGGCGGGGUGUGCGUGGCAGCGGCGGCACCAGCCGUCCUCGGGGAGCCCCGGCGGCUCACCUUCCUCCGCUGAGGGGGCCCUGGGCUGGCGUUAAGCGCUGCUUGCUCGCCCCUCAGCUCUGGAGCCCGUUUGUCUCUCAUGCUACUACUUAUAGAUAUUUUUCUCUUCAACUGCUGCAUUAAUAACUACAUCACAACAAAAUGACUUAAACUCCUUUGCAAUUCUGGAGUGAAACGUGCCAAAAUGCACAAUGCAAUACAAAAGAGGAGCUUAUGGGUGAUUUGGGAUAAGUGCUGACUUCUAGUUGAUUCUGAAGUGAAGAUGUGAUUGAAGUGGACAAGAGCCCGUUUCUGGGUGCCUUCACAACUCCGAAGAAGAGAACAGAAAGAAGAAGAAGAAUGGGGACCAGAGGAAUAUUUUCUACAGACCAGCUAAUUCCAAGACCUACUGGACCAUCUGUGGGUUCCCUGUGUGCACAGGUCAUAAGUUCUCACAUUGUUUCCAGGUGCCUGCAGUUCCAAGGCAUUGGUUUGGAUGGCAGGUUGCAGUUUCCUUUUCUGCAUAGAAUGCAGAUGAAGCUUUUGCUGUGUCUUAACAGGCAUCAGAUGCUGCAACUUGAGAGCCUAACUACUUCUUCGCUUUACUGUAUAGAAUGAUCAGCCUUCACCUUUGCUUGGCCUCCAGUAGCACAGCAACAUUACUCCUCUAGGCAUCAAAAAGGUAAUUAAUGCCCUUCAACCUCUUAAUGCUUUUU